GGCUGGUUGGAGUGCAGUGGUGUUUAAAACCAACCAGUUACAGAUUUCUUUGUUCCUACUCCACUCCCACUGCUUCACUUGACUAGCCUUAA
rnacentral:Y_RNA from 1 species